rnacentral:rRNA from 1 species
AUUGAACGCUGGCGGCAUGCCUUACACAUGCAAGUCGAACGGUAACGCGGGGCAACCUGGCGACGAGUGGCGAACGGGUGAGUAAUGCAUCGGAACGUGCCCAGAAGUGGGGGAUAGCCCGGCGAAAGCCGGAUUAAUACCGCAUGAGACCUGAGGGCGAAAGCGGGGGAUCGCAAGACCUCGCGCUUUUGGAGCGGCCGAUGUCAGAUUAGCUAGUUGGUUGGGUAAAGGCCUACCAAGGCGACGAUCUGUAGCUGGUCUGAGAGGACGACCAGCCACACUGGGACUGAGACACGGCCCAGACUCCUACGGGAGGCAGCAGUGGGGAAUUUUGGACAAUGGGCGCAAGCCUGAUCCAGCCAUGCCGCGUGCGGGAAGAAGGCCUUCGGGUUGUAAACCGCUUUUGUCAGGGAAGAAACGCUCUGGGCUAAUACCCUGGGGUAAUGACGGUACCUGAAGAAUAAGCACCGGCUAACUACGUGCCAGCCGCCGCGGUAA